rnacentral:rRNA from 1 species
GACGAACGCUGGCGGCGUGCCUAAUACAUGCAAGUAGAACGCUGAAGGAGGAGCUUGCUUCUCUGGAUGAGUUGCGAACGGGUGAGUAACGCGUAGGUAACCUGCCUGGUAGCGGGGGAUAACUAUUGGAAACGAUAGCUAAUACCGCAUAACAGUAGAUGUUGCAUGACAUUUGCUUAAAGGGUGCAAUUGCAUCACUACCAGAUGGACCUGCGUUGUAUUAGCUAGUUGGUGGGGUAACGGCUCACCAAGGCGACGAUACAUAGCCGACCUGAGAGGGUGAUCGGCCACACUGGGACUGAGACACGGCCCAGACUCCUACGGGAGGCAGCAGUAGGGAAUCUUCGGCAAUGGACGGAAGUCUGACCGAGCAACGCCGCGUGAGUGAAGAAGGUUUUCGGAUCGUAAAGCUCUGUUGUAAGAGAAGAACAGGUGUGAGAGUGGAAAGUUC